rnacentral:rRNA from 1 species
ACAGAGGUCUCAACCGUUGUUCGGAUUCAUUGGGCGUAAAGGGUGCGUAGGUGGUCGCGUAAGUCGGAUGUGAAAUCUCGGGGCUCAACCCCGAAACUGCAUUCGAUACUGCGUGGCUAGGGUACUGGAGAGGAGACUGGAAUUUACGGUGUAGCAGUGAAAUGCGUAGAUAUCGUAAGGAAGACCAGUGGCGAAGGCGAGUCUCUGGACAGUUACCGACACUGAGGCACGAAGGCCAGGGGAGCAAACGGG